rnacentral:rRNA from 1 species
GUGGGGAAUAUUGGACAAUGGGCGAAAGCCUGAUCCAGCCAUGCCGAGUGUGUGAAGAAGGUCUUCGGAUUGUAAAGCACUUUAAGUUGGGAGGAAGGGCAGUAAGUUAAUACCUUGCUGUUUUGACGUUACCGACAGAAUAAGCACCGGCUAACUUCGUGCCAGCAGCCGCGGUAAUACGAAGGGUGCAAGCGUUAAUCGGAAUUACUGGGCGUAAAGCGCGCGUAGGUGGUUUUGUAAGUUGGAGGUGAAAUCCCCGGGCUCAACCUGGGAACUGCCUCCAAAACUGCAUGACUAGAGUACGGUAGAGGGUAGUGGAAUUUCCUGUGUAGCGGUGAAAUGCGUAGAUAUAGGAAGGAACACCAGUGGCGAAGGCGACUACCUGGACUGAUACUGACACUGAGGUGCGAAAGCGUGGGGAGCAAACAGGAUUAGAUACCCGUGUAGUCC